AUUGAACGCUGGCGGCAGGCCUAACACAUGCAAGUCGAACGAGUGGCGGACGGGUGAAUAAUGUCUGGGAAACUGCCUGAUGGAGGGGGAUAACUACUAGAAGAUGUCGCUAAUACCGCAUACCAUCAGAAGUGCCCAGGUGGGUUUAGCUUGGUGGUGGGGUAACGGCUCACCAAGGCGACGAUCCCUAGCUGGGCUGAGAGGAUGACCAGCCACACUGGGACUGAGACACGGUCCAGACUCCUACGGGAGGCAGCAGUGGGGAAUAUUGCACAAUGGGCGCAAGCCUGAUGCAGCCAUGCCGCGUGUAUGAAGAAGGCCUUAGGGUUGUAAAGUACUUUCAGCGGGGAGGCGUUACCCGCAGAAGAAGCACCGGCUAACUCCGUGCCAGCAGCCGCGGUAAUUC
rnacentral:rRNA from 1 species